rnacentral:rRNA from 1 species
GGGUUGUGAGGUUAAGCGACUAAGCGUACACGGUGGAUGCCCUGGCAGUCAGAGGCGAUGAAGGACGUGCUAAUCUGCGAAAAGCGUCGGUAAGGUGAUAUGAACCGUUACAGCCGGCGAUGUCCGAAUGGGGAAACCCAGUGCAAUUCGUUGCACUAUCGUUAACUGAAUACAUAGGUUAACGAGGCGAACCGGGGGAACUGAAACAUCUAAGUACCCCGAGGAAAAGAAAUCAACCGAGAUUCCCCCAGUAGCGGCGAGCGAACGGGGAGCAGCCCAGAGUCUGAAUCAGCUUGUGUGUUAGUGGAACGGUCUGGAAAGUCCGACGGUACAGGGUGAUAGUCCCGUACACCAAAAUGCACAGGUUGUGAACUCGAAGAGUAGGGCGGGACACGUGGUAUCCUGUCUGAAUAUGGGGGGACCAUCCUCCAAGGCUAAAUACUCCUGACUGACCGAUAGUGAACCAGUACCGUGAGGGAAAGGCGAAAAGAACCCCGGCGAGGGGAGUGAAAAAGAACCUGAAACCGUGUACGUACAAGCAGUGGGAGCACCUUCGGGUGUGACUGCGUACCUUUUGUAUAAUGGGUCAGCGACUUAUAUUCUGUAGCAAGGUUAACCGUAUAGGGGAGCCGCAGGGAAACCGAGUCUUAACUGGGCGUUAAGUUGCAGGGUAUAGACCCGAAACCCGGUGAUCUAGCCAUGGGCAGGUUGAAGGUUGGGUAACACUAACUGGAGGACCGAACCGACUAAUGUUGAAAAAUUAGCGGAUGACUUGUGGCUGGGGGUGAAAGGCCAAUCAAACCGGGAGAUAGCUGGUUCUCCCCGAAAGCUAUUUAGGUAGCGCCUCGUGAACUCAUCUUCGGGGGUAGAGCACUGUUUCGGCUAGGGGGUCAUCCCGACUUACCAACCCGAUGCAAACUACGAAUACCGAAGAAUGUUAUCACGGGAGACACACGGCGGGUGCUAACGUCCGUCGUGAAGAGGGAAACAACCCAGACCGCCAGCUAAGGUCCCAAAGUCAUGGUUAAGUGGGAAACGAUGUGGGAAGGCACAGACAGCCAGGAUGUUGGCUUAGAAGCAGCCAUCAUUUAAAGAAAGCGUAAUAGCUCACUGGUCGAGUCGGCCUGCGCGGAAGAUGUAACGGGGCUAAACCAUGCACCGAAGCUGCGGCAGCGACACUAUGUGUUGUUGGGUAGGGGAGCGUUCUGUAAGCCUGCGAAGGUGUGCUGUGAGGCAUGCUGGAGGUAUCAGAAGUGCGAAUGCUGACAUAAGUAACGAUAAAGCGGGUGAAAAGCCCGCUCGCCGGAAGACCAAGGGUUCCUGUCCAACGUUAAUCGGGGCAGGGUGAGUCGACCCCUAAGGCGAGGCCGAAAGGCGUAGUCGAUGGGAAACAGGUUAAUAUUCCUGUACUUGGUGUUACUGCGAAGGGGGGACGGAGAAGGCUAUGUUAGCCGGGCGACGGUUGUCCCGGUUUAAGCAUGUAGGCUGGUUAUCCAGGCAAAUCCGGAUAAUCAAGGCUGAGGUGUGAUGACGAGGCACUACGGUGCUGAAGUAACAAAUGCCCUGCUUCCAGGAAAAGCCUCUAAGCAUCAGGUAACAUCAAAUCGUACCCCAAACCGACACAGGUGGUCAGGUAGAGAAUACCAAGGCGCUUGAGAGAACUCGGGUGAAGGAACUAGGCAAAAUGGUGCCGUAACUUCGGGAGAAGGCACGCUGGUGUGUAGGUGAAGUCCCUGCGGAUGGAGCUGAGACCAGUCGAAGAUACCAGCUGGCUGCAACUGUUUAUUAAAAACACAGCACUGUGCAAACACGAAAGUGGACGUAUACGGUGUGACGCCUGCCCGGUGCCGGAAGGUUAAUUGAUGGGGUUAUCCGUAAGGAGAAGCUCUUGAUCGAAGCCCCGGUAAACGGCGGCCGUAACUAUAACGGUCCUAAGGUAGCGAAAUUCCUUGUCGGGUAAGUUCCGACCUGCACGAAUGGCGUAAUGAUGGCCAGGCUGUCUCCACCCGAGACUCAGUGAAAUUGAACUCGCUGUGAAGAUGCAGUGUACCCGCGGCAAGACGGAAAGACCCCGUGAACCUUUACUAUAGCUUGACACUGAACAUUGAGCCUUGAUGUGUAGGAUAGGUGGGAGGCUUUGAAGCGUGGACGCCAGUCUGCGUGGAGCCAACCUUGAAAUACCACCCUUUAAUGUUUGAUGUUCUAACGUUGGCCCCUGACCGGGGUUGCGGACAGUGUCUGGUGGGUAGUUUGACUGGGGCGGUCUCCUCCCAAAGCGUAACGGAGGAGCACGAAGGUUAGCUAAUCCUGGUCGGACAUCAGGAGGUUAGUGCAAUGGCAUAAGCUAGCUUGACUGCGAGCGUGACGGCGCGAGCAGGUGCGAAAGCAGGUCAUAGUGAUCCGGUGGUUCUGAAUGGAAGGGCCAUCGCUCAACGGAUAAAAGGUACUCCGGGGAUAACAGGCUGAUACCGCCCAAGAGUUCAUAUCGACGGCGGUGUUUGGCACCUCGAUGUCGGCUCAUCACAUCCUGGGGCUGAAGUAGGUCCCAAGGGUAUGGCUGUUCGCCAUUUAAAGUGGUACGCGAGCUGGGUUUAGAACGUCGUGAGACAGUUCGGUCCCUAUCUGCCGUGGGCGCUGGAGAA